rnacentral:rRNA from 1 species
GACGAACGCUGGCGGCGUGCUUAACACAUGCAAGUCGAACGGAAAGGCCCUGCUUGCAGGGUACUCGAGUGGCGAACGGGUGAGUAACACGUGGGUGAUCUGCCCUGCACUUCGGGAUAAGCCUGGGAAACUGGGUCUAAUACCGGAUAGGAGCCAUUUUUAGUGUGAUGGUUGGAAAGUUUUUUCGGUGUAGGAUGAGCUCGCGGCCUAUCAGCUUGUUGGUGGGGUAAUGGCCUACCAAGGCGGCGACGGGUAGCCGGCCUGAGAGGGUGGACGGCCACAUUGAGACUGAGAUACGGCCCAGACUCCUACGGGAGGCAGCAGUGGGGAAUAUUGCACAAUGGGCGCAAGCCUGAUGCAGCGACGCCGCGUGGGGGAUGACGGCCUUCGGGUUGUAAACUCCUUUCGCUAGGGACGAAGCUUUUGUGACGGUACCUAGAUAAGAAGCACCGGCUAACUACGUG